ACUCACCUAACUCGUUCGUUCAAUCUACCAUUUUGAUAUUCCUACAAUACCGAACAAGGAAUUUCCACUACACCUAAUCGACUAAGCAAUUACACGACAGCACUAUAGAAACUAUAAGUACUAUUAAAAUCUCUAAAUACAUUUCUACAGUCGCUUUCUCGUACACUGAACUUUUGUUUCAUAUAUGUCAAUACCGAAGAAUUAUGAAUAAGGGUUUACGAAAACACCAACGGUUGGCUCGUACACAGUAUCAAACAAUAUUUAUGAUAAAUCAAUUGUAUAGAUACAUAAUGGAAAAAAGCCAAACAGCCAAACACAUUUUAACGGUAAGACUUUUGUUGACGAGCACGGGCACCAUGACCACCGAACUAAAAAAAAUCAUUAGUAACACAUUCUAAAAAAAAGAAACAAAUGUUAUGUCGUAUCGAGAGAUACAGUAUCAUUAACAUUCUGUACACGGAACAAGUUCGACAACACAAUAAAUCGUGCAAGAAAUCGAUUCCGAAGAUGUCAUGAACUUCUCUUCGUUUAGCACAUACCUUCUUGGGCUCCAUACGACGAGGAUCAGCAACCAACAAAGUACGGUCAUAAGUAAUGAGAGCCUUCUUAAGCUCAGCCUUGGAGUGUUCAUCAACGAACUUUUGGUAGUAAGCAACGAUGGCCUUGGAGAUGGCUUGACGAAUGGCAUAGAUUUGAGAAACAUGACCACCACCAGAGACACGGACACGAAUGUCAACACCGGCAAACUUAUCGGCACCAGCGACCAAGAUAGGCUCGUAGACCUUCAUGCGCAAAAUUUCGGGUUGAACAAGAGAGAGAGGGGCACCGUUGACCUUGAUCAAGCCCUUGCCGACCUUACAGUGGGCGACUGCUGUGGCAUUGCCUUUCUUUCCAAAGCACUGAACAGACUGCAUGUUGGCUCGUGGAUAGUUUUACUGGGUUGUAGUCCUGAAAGCCAAAAAAGUUUCGGCAUGGUUCCUGUUUGCAAAAACAGUCACACUGAAUUAGCAAAAGUUAUUUUGUUACGAUAAAAUAUAUUAUACGAAGCACUA